UGGUAGCUGGUAACAUUGUUGUCUCA
rnacentral:piRNA from 1 species